ACACUGAUGAAACUUGAUAUCAUCUAGAUCAAUAGCCUUCCCCUUAGCAUUACGUCCUUGUGCUUCCAGCAAUACUCUAUCAUUCAGACCAAGCUUACACUCCGGCAUACCACUCAAGUAUGUCCGCAUCUUCAAUGCACCGACAACAUCUGACCUCACUAUUUGCCCAUUGCUAUUAACAAGUAUAUUAACACUCUCCACA
rnacentral:misc_RNA from 1 species